GACGAACGCUGGCGGCGUGCUUAACACAUGCAAGUCGAACGGAAAGGCCUCUUUCGGGGGGUACUCGAGUGGCGAACGGGUGAGUAACACGUGAGUAACCUGCCCUUGACUUUGGGAUAACUUCAGGAAACUGGGGCUAAUACCGGAUAGGAGCUCCUGCUGCAUGGUGGGGGUUGGAGAGUUUCGGCGGUUGGGGAUGGACUCGCGGCUUAUCAGCUUGUUGGUGGGGUAGUGGCUUACCAAGGCUUUGACGGGUAGCCGGCCUGAGAGGGUGACCGGCCACAUUGGGACUGAGAUACGGCCCAGACUCCGACGGGAGGCAGCAGUGGGGAAUAUUGCACAAUGGGUGGAAGCCUGAUGCAGCAACGCCGUGUGCGGGAUGACGGACUUCGGGUUGUAAACCGCUUUCGCUCAUGACGAAGCUUUGUGUGACGGUAGUGGGUAAAGAAGCACCGGCUAACUACGUG
rnacentral:rRNA from 1 species